CACCGAAGUCAAGCAUCAUUGGGCGUGGUCAGUACUUAGGUGGGUGACCACCUGGGAGCACCGCGUGCCGUUA
rnacentral:rRNA from 1 species